AAAGAAGAUUGAAGACGAAGACUUCUGGCAGGAAAUGUCAGACGUGGCCGUUCUGUCCUAUAUCGAAUACCUCUCUCCCAGCGUCCAGAGCCGCAUCAUGGCGCUGGCGCCUCACUACAGACGCGGAUACACCAAAGCUUCGCAAAGCUGGUACUGGAUGAAUCACUGCGCCGGUUGCGGCACGCCCCAGGGCGACCACGAAUUGUUUCGUGAACCGGAAGGCGGCUUCCUGCCGACACAGUUCGGGCCGGCGCGCGACAUACGGCUCCACCGGCUCGACCAGCCGCUGCAGGCUGCAGCU
rnacentral:misc_RNA from 1 species